rnacentral:rRNA from 1 species
ACUCCUACGGGAGGCAGCAGUGAGGAAUUUUGCGCAAUGGCCGCAAGGCUGACGCAGCAACGCCGCGUGGGUGAUGAAGGCCUUCGGGUCGUAAAGCCCUGUCAGGUGGGAAGAACGAUUGGGGGUCGAAUAGGCCUUUGAUGUAACGGUACCACCAGAGGAAGCACCGGCUAACUCCGUGCCAGCAGCCGCGGUAAUACGGAGGGUGCGAGCGUUAUUCGGAAUUACUGGGCGUAAAGCGCGUGUAGGCGGCCUGGCAAGUCUGAUGUGAAAGCCCCGGGCUUAACCUGGGAAGUGCAUUGGAAACUGUCGGGCUUGAGUACUGGAGAGGAUGGGGGAAUUCCCGGUGUAGAGGUGAAAUUCGUAGAGAUCGGGAGGAAUAUCAGUGGCGAAGGCGCCCAUCUGGACGGUAACUGACGCUGAGACGCGAAAGCGUGGGGAGCAAACAGGAUUAGAUACCCUGGUAGUC